UACAGAGGUCUCAAGCGUUGUUCGGAUUCAUUGGGCGUAAAGAGUGCGUAGGCGGCGCGGUAAGUCGGGUGUGAAAUCUCGGGGCUUAACUCCGAAACUGCAUUCGAUACUGCCGUGCUUGAGGACUGGAGAGGAGACUGGAAUUUACGGUGUAGCGGUGAAAUGCGUAGAUAUCGUAAGGAAGACCAGUGGCGAAGGCGGGUCUCUGGACAGUUCCUGACGCUGAGGCACGAAGGUCAGGGGAGCAAACGGG
rnacentral:rRNA from 1 species